rnacentral:rRNA from 1 species
AUUGAACGCUGGCGACAUGCCUUACACAUGCAAGUCGAACGGUAACGGGCCUUCGGGCGCCGACGAGUGGCGAACGGGUGAGUAAUGUAUCGGAACGUACCUUUCAGUGGGGGAUAACGUAGCGAAAGUUACGCUAAUACCGCAUAUUCUGUGAGCAGGAAAGCAGGGGAUCGAAAGACCAUGCGCUGAUUGAGCGGCCGAUAUCAGAUUAGCUAGUUGGUGAGGUAAAGGCUCACAAAGGCGACGAUCUGUAGCGGGUCUGGGAGGAUGAUCCGCCACACUGGAACUGAGACACGGUCCAGACUCCUACGGGAGGCAGCAGUGGGGAAUUUUGGACAAUGGGGGCAACCCUGAUCCAGCCAUGCCGCGUGAGUGAAGAAGGCCUUCGGGUUGUAAAGCUCUUUCGGCCGGGAAGAAAUCGUAUCAGCUAAUACCUGGUGCGGAUGACGGUACCGGCAUAAGAAGCACCGGCUAACUACGUGCCAGCCGCCGCAGUAAAAC